UACGAAGGGGGCUAGCGUUGCUCGGAAUCACUGGGCGUAAAGCGCACGUAGGCGGCUUUUUAAGUCAGGGGUGAAAUCCUGGAGCUCAACUCCAGAACUGCCUUUGAUACUGAGAAGCUUGAGUCCGGGAGAGGUGAGUGGAACUGCGAGUGUAGAGGUGAAAUUCGUAGAUAUUCGCAAGAACACCAGAGGCGAAGGCGGCUCACUGGCCCGGUACUGACGCUGAGGUGCGAAAGCGUGGGGAGCAAACAGG
rnacentral:rRNA from 1 species